UACGUAGGGGGCAAGCGUUGUCCGGAAUCAUUGGGCGUAAAGAGCGCGUAGGCGGUCCGGUAAGUCCGCUGUGAAAGUCGAGGGCUCAACCCUCGAAUGCCGGUGGAUACUGCCGGGCUAGAGUCCGGAAGAGGCGAGUGGAAUUCCUAGUGUAGAGGUGAAAUUCGUAGAUAUUAGGAAGAACACCGGUGGCGAAGGCGGCCCACUGGUCCGGUACUGACGCUGAGGAGCGAAAGCGUGGGGAGCAAACAGG
rnacentral:rRNA from 1 species